rnacentral:misc_RNA from 1 species
CACCCGAUUCAAAAUUUAAUGAACUGUUGGCAAAGAAUAUAUCACUCGAUACCAUGAGCGAACAUCACCUACCCUUCAAAUUGCCAAACUAUGAAUAUGACUUUAAGUUUAAAUGGCCUAGCAGGAUGCACUCAACAAUUGUGCUAGUUAUGUUCUCUAUUCACAUCCACAAUUCAUUUGGCAGGAGGACAAUUACCACUUCUUGUUCUUUUUCUUUCCCUUCCUUCUAUCUCUUUUAUUAUGUGGCUUUGACCUCGAGUUGUGCUUUGAGACUUUCUUAAAUGAUUUCUUUUUGCUAACAGAUAAAUUGUGCUUCUUAUCAUCUCCAGCCAAUCUUGGCAUUGGCACUGCUGUUUGCAUCUUUCCACCGUGGUCAUCCUUAUCUUCUCGAGAAAUCUCAGUAGUUGUCACAGUGACUUUCAUGUCCCCAUUGUCAUAUUCCAUUGUCCCAUUGACUGAUGCAAUUGGUUCACUUUCUUCACCAUCCUCAUUAUACUCAUCACCACCAACAGAUGCUGGUGGAGCUUCUCCAUAUAACACGAGUUCUCUUUCCAGCUUCCUCUUUUUGCGCUCCUCGAUACGCUUGCGCCGCAAGGCCUCCUCUUGCUUCUUUUGGGCUUCCUUUCUUCUCUUUUUCUUCCUCUUGUGAAAACCAGUUACAUAGUCCCUGAGAUCUUUCUCGUUAAAAGAUACAGCCAGAGCUUUGUUUUUAAGAGCUCGUUUCUUUAUGUGCCGAGCUCGGUUUGGUGGCAGCUGUGGUUCUCCUCCUUCAAUUUCGCCUUCCAUGGUAGCCUCAGCAGCUAAUUUGCAGGUCCUUCUUCGGCGAUUG